rnacentral:tRNA from 1 species
GCGGGUGUGGUGGAAUCGGUAGACACGCUAGAUUCAAAAUCUGGUUUCUUCGGAAGUGCGAGUUCAAGUCUCGCCACCCGCACCA